CUUAGGAAGCCUAGAAGCUGGCGUACGGUUCUGAUUGAUCAAUUGUCUAUUUAAAAUUGUGUGUGUGCGUGUGUGUGUGUGUGUGUGCGUGUGCGUGUGUGUGCGCGUGCGCGUGUGUGCGCCUGUGUGCGCGUGUGUGCGCGUGUGCGUGUGUGUGUGCGUGUGCGUGUGUGUGUGCGUGUGCGUGCGUGUGCGCGUGCGCGUGUGUGCGCCUGUGUGCGCGUGUGUGCGCGUGUGCGUGUGUGUGCGCGUGUGCGUGUGUGUGUGCGUGCAGCUCGAAGAAUGAUUUGUGGAGACCGGGAGAUUGCCCCAGGCAGAAAACCGUUUCCGCCGGAGCAGGGGUAGUAAUACUGGUCCACUGCAUUCUAUCCAGGGUCUGAAAUGCUUCUGCACAGCUACUUUCCUCAUCAGAUGAUCCUCAUGGUGAUACAACAGAAAGGCUGAGAAGACUUCAUGAUACAGUUGGCCAUGUAGAGGACUGAACAAUCAAUCUCAAAGUGGUGAAGAUCUGGAUUUCUAGACUUCCCGAAAUUCACCAACUUCUCACAAGCAAGAAAAUGAUCAGAAAGGAAGACUGAGAGACUGAAUAUGCAGACAUACAAUGACCAGACCACAUGUAAACUGAGAAGCCCUGACCCACACCUCUGUAGGAACUGGCCCAGAAUGGUCAGGGCUUGGUCUAUGACUGCCACGUUCCCCACUUUUGCUAUUUCCAAAUCAGAACCAAUCAGAGAGAGCCAAAUAUGUUCCCAAAGCAAAUCUCAUAAGAUGCCCGACUUCUAGGUAGCCUACCUUCCGCUUCCCCCUGCUAUCAACUUCCAAGCACAACGUGCCUGAAGCCUCUCUCCCUCACCCCCUUUUUUACUGUAAAGCUUUUCCCUCCUCUGCCUGCCUUCGAGUUUCUGUCAAAACCAACUGAUGGUGGUUGAACUCUCUUACUAUAGCGAGUUCAGAAUUAAAUAACCUCUGCUUGUUCCA